rnacentral:tRNA from 1 species
CUAGUAGCUCAGCGGUUAGAGCACACGACUCAUAAUCGUUCGGUCGCAGGUUCGAAUCCUGCCUA